rnacentral:lncRNA from 1 species
GUGUUAGGAUUUUGUUAGAUUUGUAAUUAAAUCCUAUUUAUAUAAGAAUUAAUAUUUAAAUCUGUUUGAGAUAAAUUAAGAUUUAAAUAUUAAUUAGAGGAUAAACCUAACUAGAUUAGGAUUAAUAUUUAAAUCUAUUAGAGAUUGAUUAAGAUAAAUUUAGAUAUUAAUUGGAGUAGAAAUCCUAAAUAUAUUAGGAUUGGGGUACGUUUUAGUGGAGCCUUAUAAAUAGAUCUUUGUGGGUUUGCUUUUGUGGUGGAGUACGGGAGAGAGAGAGAGAGAGUCUCUUGGGUGCCGUACCAGAGAGAGAAAAAGAGAGAGAGAGUUAUUUAAUUAUGCUUUGAGUGCACCUAGUGCACGGGUGCAUGUGAAGGAUUGUCUUCUUUAUGGGUUUAUAGAAGACGAGAGAAGGGUAGAAGAGAUUCAGAAAGAGGGCUCGGAUUGUAGCUACUCAGUGCAGAAGAGGAGUCAGGUGUAAUCUUCUCUUAUUUAAUGAAUCUUAUUUUACCUGCAUAUUUUUCUCUUUUAUGAUUGUAUCAGCUUUUGCUGAGGAGACGGGUUUAUGGUAAAAACCCGAUUUAACGUUUCCGUUGCGGAAUCCCAACAAUCGAUACCGGAUCCACAGCAGUCGGUAUCGGAGCGGGUUGCGGAUUCAUGAGAUCCGGUACCGGGGCAAGUACCGGAUUCCCAACAAGUGGUAU